GAUGAACGCUGGCGGCGUGCCUAAUACAUGCAAGUCGAGCGAACAGAUGAGAAGCUUGCUUCUCUGAUGUUAGCGGCGGACGGGUGAGUAACACGUGGGUAACCUACCUAUAAGACUGGGAUAACUCCGGGAAACCGGGGCUAAUACCGGAUAAUAUUUUGAACCGCAUGGUUCAAUAGUGAAAGACGGUUUCGGCUGUCACUUAUAGAUGGACCCGCGCCGUAUUAGCUAGUUGGUAAGGUAACGGCUUACCAAGGCGACGAUACGUAGCCGACGUGAGAGGGUGCCCGGCCACCCUGGAACUGAGACACGGUCCAGACUCCUACGGGAGGCAGCAGUAGGGAAUCUUCCGCAAUGGGCGAAAGCCUGACGGAGCAACGCCGCGUGAGUGAUGAAGGUCUUCGGAUCGUAAAACUCUGUUGUUAGGGAAGAACAAAUUUGUUAGUAACUGAACAAGUCUUGACGGUACCUAACCAGAAAGCCACGGCUAACUACGUGCCAGCCGCCGCCGUAA
rnacentral:rRNA from 1 species